rnacentral:misc_RNA from 1 species
GAUGAAGAACGCAGCGAAAUGCGAUAAGUAAUGUGAAUUGCAGAAUUCAGUGAAUCAUCGAAUCUUUGAACGCACAUUGCGCCCGCCAGCAUUCUGGCGGGCAUGCCUGUUCGAGCGUCAUUUCAACCCUCGCAGCCCAUCUGGGCAGCGGUGUUGGGGACCGGCACCACCGGCGAAGCCCUUAGGGGCCCAGCCGGCGCCGCCCCCGAAAUACAGUGGCGGUCUCGCUGCAGCCUCCCUUGCGUAGUAGCACACCUCGCACCGGAGCGCAGCGCGGCCACGCCGUAAAACCCCCGACUUUCUGAGUUUGACCUCGAAUCAGGUAGGAAUACCCGCUGAACUUAAGCAUAUCAAUAAGCGGAGGGA